rnacentral:tRNA from 1 species
GACAGCUUGGCCGAGUGGUCCAAGGUGCUGGCUUUAGGCGCCAGUCCGAAAGAGCGUGGGUUCGAACCCCACAGCUGUUA